rnacentral:rRNA from 1 species
CCUACGGGUGGCAGCAGUGAGGAAUAUUGGUCAAUGGACGAGAGUCUGAACCAGCCAAGUAGCGUGAAGGAUGACUGCCCUACGGGUUGUAAACUUCUUUUAUAUGGGAAUAAAAUGAGGCACGUGUGGCUUUUUGUAUGUACUUUAUGAAUAAGGAUCGGCUAACUCCGUGCCAGCAGCCGCGGUAAUACGGAGGAUCCGAGCGUUAUCCGGAUUUAUUGGGUUUAAAGGGAGCGUAGAUGGGUUGUUAAGUCAGUUGUGAAAGUUUGCGGCUCAACCGUAAAAUUGCAAUUGAUACUGGCAGUCUUGAGUACAGUUGAGGUAGGCGGAAUUCGUGGUGUAGCGGUGAAAUGCUUAGAUAUCACGAAGAACUCCGAUUGCGAAGGCAGCUUACUAAACUGCAACUGACAUUGAGGCUCGAAAGUGUGGGUAUCAAACAGGAUUAGAUACCCCAGUAGUC